rnacentral:lncRNA from 1 species
AUAUUCUUUAAAGAUGACCCUGUGAGCCACCGCUGCACAGCCCCUCCCCGCAGAAAACCUACAGCCUUUGCAGAAUCCCCCUGGCUUUCUGGACCUGAUUCCCAUCUGGCCUGUCCCGGGAGCCCUUUCUUCCUCACUUGGUGAGACCCCUCUCUAACAAGGGGGAUUGCGUCCAGGCCGAGGUGGGGAGAGCCGCAGACCGGAACAGGGGACUAUCCUGAGCACCCCUCCCAGCAGGCACUGAGGCCCUGACGGGCUGUCCCCGCUCCAGCCCACAGUCGUGAGGGAGGUGGACACAUGAACGGACCCUGGCCUGGGGAGGAAGAGGAGGCCGGCGGCUCAGCCAGGACUGGAAAGGCCUUCCGGAUGCCAGGGUUGAGAGCAGCCCACCUGACUCAGCCCCUGUCUGCUUCACAGAGCAUCUCAGCAUUCCUGCCACGUGGUCUGUUCCUCUGCCACCUCCCAGCAAGCGCUCUAGUUUGGCAGUCCACUGUUCUUGAUGAAAUAUUUAUCACUACAUGGCAAAAUACGGUUUUGCAAGAGCUUCGAGUCCCAUAAGCCCGUGCCACCUGCCAAGAGUGUUGUGAUGAGGAGCGUAACCCAGCUCAGCCAGACACUGAACCAGUUGUUACAAAUGAAAGAUGAGUGUUUCCACUGGGCAGGGGCAAGGGGCCGUGGAAAUGUAGUUGGGGAGACUCACCUGGUUGGGAGUCAGCGGAGGAAGCCUAAGUGGACGUUGGCUGGGGAGGAGGAGGGGUGUGCCGAGGAGGGGAGCCCGCUGGAGGGACCUGGGCAAGUGGGGAGGGUGCCCAGGCCGGCGUGUGUUGUCUGGUGGAUGGGACAGCCUUGAGAAAUGUUGUGUUUAUAAAAGUUGUUCACGGAAACACGUUCCUUUACCAAUUAGCUCCCGUUGGCCAAAGCACAGUUAAUGUUCGGAAAAAGCAAAUCUCCAGAAUGUUUUCCCCUUUUCUGUAGUUUUUAUUCUCUUUUCCAUUUCCACUUGUGAUUUUUCUGAGCCCGGGGACAUUUUGGGAGGGAUAUAAAAGGAUCUAAAACCUAGACAAUAGAGCAAACGCCUUUUGUUAAGUUGCUUUACCUGCCGUGUUAUUUGGUUUCCGGCUUUUAGCUAUGACUGCUGAGGGUGGAUUACAAAAGCGCUAACUCAGAGGACCUUCUCACUUACACCAGGAGGCUCCAUCUCCCGGGAAGAGGGAGGCCAGGCCAAUUUACACGGGAACCUGGCUUGAGUCUGAGUUCUGGGGUCAGGACCCUUAUCCUGCCCCACCUGGAGGCUUGCAGGACUGGAAG